CUUCCUACAGUGGCGCAGUUUCAACGGGACGAGCAGUGGGAAUAUUGGACAAUGGGCGCAAGCGUGAUCCAGCCAUGCCGCGUGAGUGAUGAAGGCCUUAGGGUUGUAAAGCUCUUUCACCGAUGAAGAUAAUGACGGUAGUCGGAGAAGAAGCCCCGGCUAACUUCGUGCCAGCAGCCGCGGUAAUACGAAGGGGGCUAGCGUUGUUCGGAAUUACUGGGCGUAAAGCGCACGUAGGCGGAUAUUUAAGUCAGGGGUGAAAUCCCGCAGCUCAACUGUGGAACUGCCUUUGAUACUGGGUAUCUUGAGUAUGGAAGAGGUAAGUGGAAUUCCGAGUGUAGAGGUGAAAUUCGUAGAUAUUCGGAGGAACACCAGUGGCGAAGGCGGCUUACUGGUCCAUUACUGACGCUGAGGUGCGAAAGCGUGGGGAGCAAACAGGGAUUAAUACCCUGGUAGUCCACGCCGUAAGGCGAUGAAGGUUAGCCGUCGGGCAAGUAUGCUAUUUCGAGUGGCUGCA
rnacentral:rRNA from 1 species